ensembl:lncRNA
GUUUUUCUGAUUUUUCUCCAUUAUACAUCCUUACAGUUCUAAAGCUUGGACAAAUGUUUUACGAUAUGAUUUUUAUGCCAAUUAGAUGUAAUUGCUUGUGCUUGAAAUUUGUUUCUAAGGCAAAAAUACAUUAUGGAAUACAAGAAUGCAACAUGGUGUCUAUAUGAAUUAAUUUCCAAAAUAAAAACCUUUCAUUAAAAGCUUUUCUCUAUUUUAUCUUUAUUUGUUUACAUAUAUUGUGCCCUGCGAUGGACUGGCACCCUGUCCAGGGUGUACCCCGCCUCGUGCCCGAUGCUCACUGGGAUAGGCUCCAGGUUUCCCCGUGACCCUGAAAAGGAUUAAGUGGUAUAGAAGAUGGAUGGAUGUUUACAUAUUCACGUUCUUCCGUUUAAUUAGAAAACCCAUAUUUCAAUUAAGCCAUAAUUGGACUCAAGCAAAAGCCAAUUUUUAAAAAAAAAUAUACAACCAGGAUUAGAGGAUUUAAUGUAUGAAACAAAUCCUCUUAUUUGCCAGAGAGUGGAAUAUUGAUUUAAUACAACAAAGCUGCAUACCAUCUAGAGGUUUUAGCAUGAUUGUCAAUUAGCCCCUAAGGUUUUCUCAAGCUCUCAGGGCUUGCUAGCUUGUAAUUGACCUGUCUAAUAAGAUUAGGAUUCAAUGACGAUCUAAACGCCCUUUGACAGAUCCUGCACCCAUGCAAUUGCUUGAGCCGUCUUGCCAAUAUGUCCCACAUGCCACAUCUUUCUACAGGGUUUUAGUAUCAGAGAAAAAUCUUAUAAUUCCACGAAAGGGAUUCCUAAUCAUGCCCACAUUUCUUAGAGUAUCCCACAAAAAGCUGCCCUGAUCAGAAAAGAAAGAGAAAGAGAGAGAGAGAGAGAGAGAGAGAGAGUGCAAAUGUAUGCGUACUUGACCUUAAAUGCUCUUUCCACAUACUGCUUUGUCUUGUGCUACUCUGAUCGGGUUUGAAAAAAGAAACAGCGACAGAGACAGAAAGAGAGAGUGAGAGAAAGAGCAUCUCUCUCAGGAAACGUCCUCAUAUUUUUAAGAGGAUGACGGUUUAAAAAAAAAGAAAUGAAAAAAGACAGAAAGAAAACAUGACUCUAAAGGACAACCUUAAUGUCACUCUUGCAAAAUGUACCAGACACAGAGUCAGGAACAGACACACUAGACACUGUACACUUGAGACUAAAGGGCUCCAUUUAGAGGAAUAGACAAUAAAAUAAAGUUGAUAGAGCUGUACAGAAAAUAUCAAGUGUUCUCUAUGGUAGAUAUGGCCUUAGACCUACAGUUACAAUGAAAAGUUUCCUAAAGAAGACUUAUUGUCCUGGGCAACCCUUUUCUGGACGAGACAGAAGAAAAGACAGAAGCAAGAGGGCCGUGUGUGUGUGUGUGUGUGUGUGUGUGGAUGAGCUCAUGGUCUAAAAGCACAGAGCUCAUCAAAUUCAAUCCACGCGUUCAGCCUGUCAGCAUCCCUCCGUCAUUGCACACAAAAAACACACACUCUCAAAAUGUAUGAAUGAAUAAUCACCCCAAUAAGGCUAAACACACUUAUCACAAUCAGCUCUGUAACCGCAGUGGGAAAGUACACACAGACAUACAGCAAACUCAAACAUAAAUACCUACACACAUAUACACACAGCUCCAUGAUCUGUAUGCUUGACAGAGCAGCUGGUCCCCAGUCUCUGGUUAAUCUCAGUCCAAAGCACUAUGGUAGAUCAAUAGAGUGGACAUGAUGAGAGUCACGAUCCCAAGACUACUUUCCCUAAACGACUUUGCUCAGAAAAGAGGACAAAGGAGCAACUGCUAUAAAAAUGAAGGCUAAAGGAAGCCUCGGUUUUUGCCCCCGCCAUCGACUUACAAUCAAGACAUGGUUUAAUGAAAGAUCGCGUGUGCGAGCAUCUACAGAGGCAUGUACAGAGCAUUUCAGUUAUAUGCAAAACAGCACGUGUUGUUUUAAAACUAGCCGGGCCUCCUUUAUCAAGCCGCAGACAAACAGAUCGACGAGUAAAUUUUUCGAACGAGCAUCUACACAGGAAAUUUGGUAUGAACAAAAAUCCUGUAAAUUCUUGAAA